GAUUUCUGGCUUGAAACAUUUUGCCGGCCACGGUUUCGUGUGUUAGUGCUUGAUGUUCUGGCCAUCCUUCCAAUCGCCCAGGCCCGCUCUUCAUUGAGUGGGCCGAGGUAUUGGAUCUUUUACUUUGAAAAAAUUAGAGUGUUUCAAGCAGGCUUUAUGCUAUGAAUACAUUAGCAUGGAAUAAUAAUUUAGGACUUCGGUUCUAUUUUGUUGGUUUCUAGGACUGAAGUAAUGAUUGAUAGGGAUAGUUGGGGGUGCUAGUAUUCAGCGGCCAGAGGUGAAAUUCUUGGAUUCGCUGAAGACUAACUUAUGCGAAAGCAUU
rnacentral:rRNA from 1 species